GCAGCCUUCAUUCCUUUUUACACGAGCUCGUGCCGAGGCAGUUCCAAGUUCCGUGUGGUUCGCGUCCGAAAAGCCUGAUGUAUUCGCUAAAAUCGUUCAAAAACCGCAGAAAAUCUUGUUAAAUCAACCGUCGCGACCCCCGGGUGACGCGUAUCGUGCGUGAGCGUGAGUUAAAGAUCCAGAGUCGUGUCUCGUGUGUGCGUGCGUGUGCAGAAGAAGAACGAGGAAGAACGAGGUCACCGCGGCAGCAGAACCAGUGUGUGUGUGCUUGAAAAAAAAAAGGAAAUUGAAGACCAGAAGCAGCAGCUACAGUAAUCACAGCCAGAAGUAAGCCAACCCAGCAGCAGCAAGAUGUCUUUCGAGGAAACUUCCGCCGAUCGCAAUGUGGAGAUCUGGAAGAUCAAGAAGCUUAUCAAGAGCUUGGAGAUGGCCCGAGGAAAUGGCACCAGCAUGAUUUCGCUGAUCAUCCCGCCGAAGGACCAGAUCAGCCGGGUGAGCAAGAUGCUGGCGGACGAGUUCGGCACGGCGUCCAACAUCAAGUCCCGCGUGAACCGUCUGUCCGUGCUCGGUGCCAUCACCUCGGUCCAGCACCGGCUCAAACUAUACACCAAAGUGCCUCCGAAUGGACUCGUGAUCUACUGCGGUACGAUCGUCACCGAAGAGGGCAAAGAGAAGAAGGUCAACAUUGACUUUGAACCGUUCAAACCGAUCAAUACCUCUUUAUACUUAUGCGAUAAUAAAUUCCACACCGAAGCGCUGACGGCCCUGCUCGCGGACGACAAUAAGUUCGGUUUCAUCGUGAUGGACGGUAACGGUGCGCUGUUCGGUACACUUCAGGGCAACACCCGCGAGGUUCUGCACAAAUUCACCGUGGACCUGCCGAAGAAGCACGGCCGUGGUGGUCAGUCCGCGUUGCGUUUCGCGCGUCUGCGUAUGGAGAAGCGUCACAACUACGUGCGCAAGGUCGCCGAGGUGGCCACCCAGCUGUUCAUCACCAACGACAAGCCAAACAUUGCCGGCCUCAUCCUGGCCGGUAGUGCCGACUUCAAGACCGAGCUCAGCCAGUCGGACAUGUUCGAUCCGCGAUUGCAAUCGAAAGUGAUCAAACUGGUGGACGUGUCGUACGGCGGGGAGAACGGUUUUAACCAGGCCAUCGAGCUGGCAGCUGAAUCACUGCAGAACGUAAAGUUCAUCCAGGAGAAGAAACUGAUUGGGCGAUACUUUGACGAAAUUUCACAGGACACCGGCAAGUACUGCUUCGGCGUGGAGGACACGCUCAAGGCGCUGGAACUGGGCUCGGUCGAGACGCUGAUCUGCUGGGAGAACUUGGACAUUCAACGCUACGUGCUCAAGAACCACGUCAGUGCGACGUCCACAACAGUAUUGCACCUGACCCCGGAGCAGGAGAAGGACAAGUCGCACUUCACUGACAAGGAGAGUGGCGUCGAGAUGGAACUGGUCGAAUCUCAACCGCUGCUGGAAUGGCUCGCCAACAACUACAAGAGCUUCGGUGCUACUUUGGAAAUUAUCACUGACAAGUCCCAGGAGGGCAGCCAGUUUGUGCGAGGAUUUGGUGGAAUUGGAGGAAUUCUCCGCUACAAAGUCGACUUCCAGUCGCUCCAGGCCGACGAGCCGCUGGACGACGUUGACCUUGACGAUUACUAAAUCAAUUACGAUUCCGACAAACACUUUCUUGUACUCUUUGAGGGACUACACGACGCGAGAAGCAGACACAACUUUCUAGGUACUCUUUCCAAACUUGUAAUCAGCCGAAAUGGUCGCGUUCCAAAAGCCGAUAAACUACUUAGAGAAACCAAACUGAGCAGAAAAUUUAUAAAAAAAAACACCAGAUUACGCGGAAAAAAAGUUAGUUUUGUGCAACCAAUUUCUCUCCAAUAAGAACAAACAAAAUACGAAAGCCACAUUCGAUUCGAUUUUAAUAAAGGUAAACAAGCAAAAAUCCGGAUAGCAAACAUCAAACACACAAAACACACCCACAACACAACUUACAAACAUAUAUGAAAUUAGUUAAUAUAAUCAGUAAAUUCUAUGCGGGCAAAAACUGAUAACAUGUGUUGAAAAACAGAAGUCGGUUCCGAGCCUACCGUGAGCAGCGUGUAUUUAGGUAAAAAGCGAACAAACCAAAAAAAAAACAUAAAGAAAAACUAUUUAUAUAAAUAUUGGCGGGCAUCUUCCGGGAGAGGCUCACACCACUUCCGGCGGAGCGCCUCGUUUUAUGCUGAUAUAUCAUUCAAGAAACAAACUAACAAACAAACAAAAAAAUACCGUGUAUAAUAACAAUUGCAACUCGAAUUCGUCUCCAAACCGCGUAACAUUUGAACAAUGAAUAGUUGAGAGGGCGCGCGCGCGAGUCACACUUUGAAGGAAGGUUGCCCUGCGGAAGAUUCGUUUUCUUUGCCAGCGAAUUUAGGUGUACUUGUACCGAAGUGUGCGGAGAGAAGCUUCCGUGAAACAUUUAGAACUUAGUACCAGAUACAGGAAAUAAUAGACGAGUAACGAGAGGGGAGGAAAUUUAGAAACAACACACUUAAAACUCACAAAUUCUUUCACGAAUCACACAAAUGACACACGGUUGACUUUUUUCAAUACAUUCGAACGUUGAGGCACCCCUGCACGCACAUCGCUACUGAUGGUUUUGAUAGGAAUAAGGUUGUUUGCGCUACAAGGUCGAUUUCCAAAGUAUGCAACUAGAUGAAUUGGACAACGAUGCUUUCGAUUUAGAGGAUUAUUAAAAUAUUUUUUUUUAUGUUUAUGAAAGUAUCAGUUAUACAACAAACACACACACAGGUUAAAAAAUAUACAACAACAAAAGAGAAAAGACACUUCGGUGUGGAGCAAAAUCA